rfam:Candidatus Caldiarchaeum subterraneum DNA, complete genome, from subsurface mine microbial mat.
GGCGCCGGUCAUAGGAUGGGGGAAACGCCCAGACUCAGCCGAACCUGGAAGCUAAGCCCCAUCCGCGCGGCACUAGUGAGGUGGGAGACCCCUCGCGAAAGCCGCGUGCCGGCGGCC